UACGUAGGGGGCUAGCGUUGUCCGGAAUCAUUGGGCGUAAAGAGCGCGUAGGCGGCCAGAUAAGUCCGGUGUGAAAGUCAAAGGCUCAACCUUUGAAUGCCGCUGGAAACUGUCUGGCUAGAGUCCGGGAGGGGCGAGUGGAAUUCCUGGUGUAGCGGUGAAAUGCGUAGAUAUCGGGAGGAACACCAGUGGCGCAAGCGGCCGCCUGGCACUGACCUGACACUGAGCCACGACGGCGUGGGGAGCAAACGGG
rnacentral:rRNA from 1 species